rnacentral:rRNA from 1 species
CCCUUAGAUGUCCUGGGCCGCACGCGCGCUACACAGAGUGUCUGAGAUACGAGUCUGCCUGGUCCGGCAAGGUCUAGGUAAUCGCUAAAAGACACAUCAUGCUUGGGAUAGAUUAUUGCAAAUAUUAAUCUUGAACGAGGAAUUCCUAGUAAGCGCAAGUCAACAGCUUGCGUUGAUUACGUCCCUGCCCUUUGUACACACCGCCCGUCGCUACUACUGAUUGGAUGUUUAAGCGAGGUUCUCGAACUGCUAGCGACUUAGCUUCGGUGAGGUCGCAGUGUGGGAAGUGAACCUAGCUUUGGUGUCUAGAGGAAGGAGAAGUCGUAACA